GAUGAACGCUGGCGGCGUGCCUAAUACAUGCAAGUCGAGCGAACAGACGAGGAGCUUGCUCCUCUGACGUUAGCGGCGGACGGGUGAGUAACACGUGGAUAACCUACCUAUAAGACUGGGAUAACUUCGGGAAACCGGAGCUAAUACCGGAUAAUAUAUUUAACCGCAUGGUUCAAUAGUGAAAGACGGUUUUGCUGUCACUUAUAGAUGGAUCCGCGCCGCAUUAGCUAGUUGGUAAGGUAACGGCUUACCAAGGCAACGAUGCGUAGCCGACCUGAGAGGGUGAUCGGCCACACUGGAACUGAGACACGGUCCAGACUCCUACGGGAGGCAGCAGUAGGGAAUCUUCCGCAAUGGGCGAAAGCCUGACGGAGCAACGCCGCGUGAGUGAUGAAGGUCUGCGGAUCGUAAAACUCUGUUAUUAGGGAAGAACAAAUGUGUAAGUAACUAUGCACGUCUUGACGGUACCUAAUCAGAAAGCCACGGCUAACUACGUG
rnacentral:rRNA from 1 species